AAAACACGAAUAAAGAACGAUACCAGACUACACACUCAUGAGUCAACACGAAUCAAUCCAACCGUAGAAAACAAUUUCAGUUAAACUAAAUCCAUUAGGUUGGGAAUGAAAAAUACAGGUUCCAAAGUUGCAACCUCCUAUGAUGGAAAUGUUGUAACCCAUCAUUUCUACACAUAGAACUAUCCUAACUAACUUAGGAGAUUAACACAGAAUCCUACCUUCUUAGGCUACAAAACAACCUAAAUCUACUCGAAAACCUCGAGAUUCGAACCCGUGACCUAGUCCAACCUCGUAAGACAAAUCACCUAAAAAUCUUCCUAAAUGCAACUACUACAGUUCCCCAGUUCCUGAACAACAGCUUCCAUGGAAGGCCUCUCAACAGGUGACUCGUGGGUACAAAUCCAUGCAAUCCUAGCAAGCUUAGCAGCUUCAUACUCAAAGAACCUCCCUUUGAGGUUGGCAUCCAAGUAGUCCUCGAAACGACACGACUCAGCACCUAAUCGGAUCAGAUUCGAGACCUUACGCUUCCCGGAUAGGACCUGGAACACGACCACUCCGAAUGCGUACACGUCGCUCUUGUCCGUGAACUUCCCCGUAGUCGAGUACUCCGGAGCCAUGUACCCCAUUGCUGCACUGGCCUUGAGUGCUGAGAAAACGGCGUCGUUUGUCAGGAGGCUCUGCAGGCCUGACCCUGAUACCAUUGGGUUGUGCCUUUUGUCUAUCAGGAUUUUCUCUGCUGUUAUGUUCUGGUGGAUUAUGGAUGGCUUGUUGGGUUUGUAGCUGCCAAUAAUUAACAUAAACAACAACGGAUAAUUCAUAAUGAGAAACACAAAUCAGCACGAUCUGUUUAGUGUUGAUGUGCAACGAGAAUCCAAACAAAUAUAAGAUGAAAAAGACGAUAAAUCAACAUGGUUUAACGAAUCGUAAUAUGUAACUCGCAAGACAGUAAAUGAAACUUUCUCCAACAAAUCGAUAUCUUUAGAACAUAAUUGAAACUUUUACUUGCUUGGGUAGUCAAACAAGAGAAAUUGAUAUUAGGAUAUUAACGGUGUCUUUUGUCUGUUACAAUAAACACAUGUUAUUUAUGUGUUAUUUUUUGUUUGCCCAAAUAAUUAAUUUUAUUCUGACUACCAAAACACAAAUAAAGAACAUACCGGACCAUACACUCAUCAGUCAACAUGUAACAAUCAACCAUUAUUUUUUGUUCGGGAAAAUAAUUAAUUUUAUUUUAACCACCAAAACAUGAAUAAAGAACGAUAUCGGACUAUACACUCAUGAGUCAACAUCUAACAAUCAACUGUUUCUUUUUUCUUAGGCAAAAUAAUUAAUUUUAUUUUGACCACCAAAACACGAAUAAAGAACGAUACCAGACUACACACUCAUGAGUCAACACGAAUCAAUCCAACCGUAGAAAACAAUUUCAGUUAAACUAAAUCCAUUAGGUUGGGAAUGAAAAAUACAGGUUCCAAAGUUGCAACCUCCUAUGAUGGAAAUGUUGUAACCCAUCAUUUCUACACAUAGAACUAUCCUAACUAACUUAGGAGAUUAACACAGAAUCCUACCUUCUUAGGCUACAAAACAACCUAAAUCUACUCGAAAACCUCGAGAUUCGAACCCGUGACCUAGUCCAACCUCGUAAGACAAAUCACCUAAAAAUCUUCCUAAAUGCAACUACUACAGUUCCCCAGUUCCUGAACAACAGCUUCCAUGGAAGGCCUCUCAACAGGUGACUCGUGGGUACAAAUCCAUGCAAUCCUAGCAAGCUUAGCAGCUUCAUACUCAAAGAACCUCCCUUUGAGGUUGGCAUCCAAGUAGUCCUCGAAACGACACGACUCAGCACCUAAUCGGAUCAGAUUCGAGACCUUACGCUUCCCGGAU
rnacentral:lncRNA from 1 species